rnacentral:rRNA from 1 species
AUUGAACGCUGGCGGCAGGCCUAACACAUGCAAGUCGAACGAGUGGCGGACGGGUGAGGAAUACAUCGGAAUCUGCGCUGUCGUGGGGGAUAACGUAUGGAAACUUUCGCUAAUACCGCAUACGAUUGAAUGAGCCGAUGUCGGAUUAGCUAGUGGGGGGGGUAAAGGCCCACCAAGGCGACGAUCCGUAGCUGGUCUGAGAGGAUGAUCAGCCACACUGGAACGGAGACACGGUCCAGACUCCUACGGGAGGCAGAAGUGGGGAAUAUUGCACAAUGGGCGCAAGCCUGAUCCAGCCAUGCCGCGUGUGUGAAGAAGGCCUUCGGGUUGUAAAGCCCUUUUGUUGGGAAAGCGGUACCCAAAGAAUAAGCACCGGCUAACUUCGUGCCAGCCGCCGCGGUAAUAC